AAUCCCCUUGGGCUUUCUUUAGCUUUAAUUUACAUAAACACAGGGAUCAUAUGAAUAUUCAGUGAGUGGCUUUGCAUUAAGUAAGUGCCCUUAAUCAGCUUUUCAGUUCAGUUUUAUUGGUUGCACGCACAGUCAGUUAUUUCAUCCAGAAAAUCUGAAGCCCCUACAAACUAACCAGAAUAGAAAAUUACCUCUGAGAUGCCGAUGUUAGAGAACACAGCAAAGAAUAUGAGGCCAGGGCUGUCCUUCCUCUCAGGUGGAGAGCCUCACUAUCAAAGGAACAAAGCACAUUUCCAACCUCAAGUUUUUUCUCAUCUUCUGUUUUUCCCAUUCUGCAAGGUGGAGCUCAAAUCGUUUUCCUAUAAAGCAUUCACUAGGCCUUCAGCUUUGGAACUCUAACACCCAUAGCCUUCUCUCGCCCUUUGUGUGGCUCACACACAGUUUAGCAUUAUGACAUUUCUCUCACUGGAUGGUAAACCACUGGCAGGCAGGGCUCUCAUCUUGCAUUUUUGUUCUGUCACCUUAAGCACACGGAGUAGUGCUUAUCGUCAAGUUUGCAUUUGCAAAAAUACUUAUUGAGGGA
rnacentral:lncRNA from 1 species